GGGCUUGUGGUCUAGUGGUAUGACAUCUUCUUAGCAUUUUCGGUUUCGACCGAGCGCGAUUGGAGAAGGUCCGGCGUUCAAUUCGCCGCUAGUCCA